rfam:Terrabacter sp. 28 contig13, whole genome shotgun sequence.
GGAGGCGUCGCAUAGUGGCCUAGUGCGCCCGCCUGCUAAGCGGGUUGAGGAUAAAACCUCUCGCGGGUUCAAAUCCCGCCGCCUCCG